AGCCACUAGGCCGAGGGCACGCCUGCCUGGGCGUC
rnacentral:rRNA from 1 species